rnacentral:rRNA from 1 species
GUCCAGACUCCUACGGGAGGCAGCAGUGAGGAAUAUUGGUCAAUGGUCGGGAGACUGAACCAGCCAAGCCGCGUGAGGGAUGAAGGUACAGAGUAUCGUAAACCUCUUUUGUCAGGGAACAAAGGCGGGGACGUGUCCCCGGAUGAGUGUACCUGAAGAAAAAGCAUCGGCUAACUCCGUGCCAGCAGCCGCGGUAAUACGGAGGAUGCGAGCGUUAUCCGGAUUUAUUGGGUGUAAAGGGUGCGUAGACGGGAAGGCAAGUUGGUUGUGAAAUCCCUCGGCUUAACUGAGGAACUGCAACCAAAACUAUCUUUCUUGAGUGCUGGAGAGGAAAGUGGAAUUCCUAGUGUAGCGGUGAAAUGCGUAGAUAUUAGGAGGAACACCAGUGGCGAAGGCGACUUUCUGGACAGUAACUGACGUUGAGGCACGAAAGUGUGGGGAGCAAACAGGAUUAGAUACCCGCGUAAC